UCCGGUUUGACACCGGCAGUCUCCCAUGAGUCCCCACCAUUACGUGUUGGCAACUAGGGACAGGGGUUGCGCUCGUUGCGCCACUUAAGGCAACACCUCACGGCACGAGCUGACGACAACCAUGCAGCACCUUGUAAUCUGCCCGAAGGAAAGGGUGUUUCCACCCCUGUCAGACUACAUUUAAGCCCUGGUAAGGUUCCUCGCGUAUCAUCGAAUUAAACCACAUGCUCCACCGCUUGUGCGGGCCCCCGUCAAUUCCUUUGAGUUUCAUUCUUGCGAACGUACUCCCCAGGUGGGAUACUUAUCACUUUCGCUUAGCCACUGAGCCGAAGCCCAACAGCUAGUAUCCAUCGUUUACGGCGUGGACUAC
rnacentral:misc_RNA from 1 species